rnacentral:misc_RNA from 1 species
GUUCGAGCGUCAUUUUCACCAUCAAGCUCUGCUUGGUCUUGGGCCCUGCCGACGACGGCAAGCCCUAAAACAGUGGCGGUGCCCGAAGGCCCUGAGCGUAGUAACUUCUCUCGCUACAGGCGCCGACGGGACGCUGGCCAACAACCCCAAUUUUUCAAAGGUUUGACCUCGGAUCAGGUAGGGAUACCCGCUGAACUUAA